rnacentral:rRNA from 1 species
GAUGAACGCUGGCGGCGUGCCUAAUACAUGCAAGUCGAGCGAACAGACGAGGAGCUUGCUCCUCUGACGUUAGCGGCGGACGGGUGAGUAACACGUGGAUAACCUACCUAUAAGACUGGGAUAACUUCGGGAAACCGGAGCUAAUACCGGAUAAUAUUUUGAACCGCAUGGUUCAAUAGUGAAAGACGGUUUUGCUGUCACUUAUAGAUGGAUCCGCGCUGCAUUAGCUAGUUGGUAAGGUAACGGCUUACCAAGGCAACGAUGCAUAGCCGACCUGAGAGGGUGAACGGCCAAACGGGGACCUGAAAACGGGCCAAGACCCUUAGGGAGGCAGCAGUAGGGAAUCUUCCGCAAUGGGCGGAAGGCUGACGGAGGAAAGGCGGGUGAGGGAAGAAGGUCCUCCGAUCGGUAAACUCCUGUAUUAGGGAAGAACCAAUGGGUAAAGUAAUGAUCACCGCUUGGACGGUACUAAACAAGAAAGCACGGCUAAACUACUG